rnacentral:misc_RNA from 1 species
ACUUCAAUUUCUACCAAAAACCUUGUUUGAGAUAUGCAAUAAUGGUUGCAGGUGAAAAGUGAAAAGAAAUGGCACCCAAAUUGUAGGUGGGUGUUGGAUGGCUGGGUGAGCCUUGUCAAACUUUCACCUUCAUCUUCAUCAGACAAAUCUGAACCUUAUAUAUGAUACUGAACAUGUAGAUUCAUCCAAAGCCAAGCAUUUAUUGUACUUAAGGGGGUCAAACACAGGCAUAUCAG